GCACCAUCUUGUUCCUGAUCGCUGUCCCGUGAGGUUUUCCAAGCCAGGAAAUAUUUUAUGCAAUACAUAACUGUCAAUGUUUAGAGCUUUGUGUUUGUGUCUUUCAGGAAUGAGGGGAGAGCUGAGUCUUGUGGCCAAAUCUUACUCCAAUUUACACCAAUAUUAAUUCAAAGUCAAGCUGUGGUUUGCAGUAGAAUGACUCCAGUUUUAUGCUGUUAGAUCAGAAUUUGCUCUUUUUUUUUUUUUUUCCCAAACAGAAGUUUAAGGAAGCAAAGCAUUUCCCAAGAGCUGCCUCCCCAGAUCUCUGCUGCAUCGGGAACGUAUUGCUCUAUUUCCACGGUCAGAUACAUCCUGCUUUAACAGAGCAUCCUCAAGGACCCCCAGCAAAAGUCACAGCACCCACCCUGAUGAGUAUGGUGUGAAAAGUGGCUGCUGGGUUUGGUCACUGGUUUGUUGGGAACAGAACAUGGAGCUGGUGGGACAGAGCAGGACUGGAUGGUGCCUUUGUGGUUCUGCAGUGCAGCCCCAGGUCCCCAUGCAUGUCCCCAUCUUCCAAAGUGGCCCACGCACUGCUGUCCUGGGUUGUCUCUUGCAGCAAGUGUCAACACUCUGGAAUUCAGCAUUUCUUUCUCUCUUUUGUCCCCAAAAUGUCAAAUUGGAGGCACAAAUAGAUGGCACAAAAAAAAGAGCUCAUUUUGCCAUUUCACCAGGAAAGGCUCUGCGGUAAUUCAAAGUGUUCUAUUCAGGAUUCAUCUGCAGCAAAAUUUCCUUCUGCCUCGAACCUGUCAAGUGCCAAUAUUCAUUUUAAUGAUCUCAUUUUAUAAAUAAUGGAAAGAAAAACAAUACAUUCAAUAGAAAUGAGAUUAGAAAUGGGAGGGGAAUGAAUUACAAAUGCAAGAGUCUGUAGUUGUUCCAAGGAAGAUAAAUCUCAUUUUAAGUGGUCUCCAGUGAAACAGCAUCUUGGUAAGGAUAAAACAAGCAAACAACUAAAACCCACAAAAAAGCCCACGUCUUUUGCUGAUAAAGAAAGGUGGAUGGCAGCAGCAGGGAGUGUUUGCUGACACAGGUCAGUUGUCACAGUAUCUUGAGACCAGUGAUACGUAGGUUUUCUUCUUGGCCUUGCCAUGGCCUCCCUGUGAUAAAUCAUUUAACAGCUGGUGCCAGCAUUGCAGGACAAUCUGGAAAAUCAAACUCCAGUGAACAAACCUGCAGAUGACAUCAAGAAGCAAUGCUCGGGGCAGCAGCCACUGCCAGGCUUCCACCUCAGCAGGAUAUUUGAAGCCUGGCUCACACCAUGAGUUGCUCUGGAUGUGCUGAUGGCUGGUUUCGGUGGCAAGAUGGAUAGAGCCUGGAGGAGGUGCUGGCGUGACCCCCAGCCUGCUGGCCACACCAGCCCUCUGUGCACAGGUAGGCUUCGAAGCAAACCCAAACCAUACAAUUGCUCACGGCCCAUCCAGUGCUUGCCUGCAACCUCCUCCCCCUCCUGCCUCGUGUGUCCAAGAAGGCUUUGAUGAAGGGCUCAGUUCACCAGUGUGCAAACAACCAAGUGGUCCCCGUAGUGCUCUCUGGCUCCUGGACCCAGCGCUGGCCAUUGAGAAAGCUCUGGGCUGAAGACCAACACCAAGCAUCCAAACAGUGAUCAACCAAAAUGGUCAGGGCUGUGUGCGCUGGCCUUUGGACUGCUUCCAUCAACAACACAGAGAGCGCCGACAAGAGCAGCCUAUGGAGUGUGGGGAAGGCAUGAGAGGAAACUGAGUCGCAACGGCUUUAAGAGGAUGUAACAAGGGCUUCUUCUGAAAUAACAGAUCUUACUGUAACCAAAUAUUGCCAUCCAGGAAAGCCAUUUUGCAACCAGCAAGGAGGCUUCUUCCUUCCCAGCAACCGCUGAAAAGGCCCUUUGUUCUCAGUGGAACACCUGGAGAGGUUUAUCUGCCGUGGCCUCUGGGGCCGGCACUGAGGAGCUGUGACAGGACCCAGUGGCACUGGAGUUGGUGGCAAGCCAGGUGCUGCUGGCACCCAAAAACCAUCCCAGCUGGGCUAUGGCAUGGGCAGCUUUUGGUUGUCUCUUCCAUGGGGGCCAGGAUGCUGGCCUGGCUUGUGUUUUCUUUCUUUUCCCAUCCUAAAAUGAACAGCUGCAGUCCGAAUUGUCUUUAGACAGCAUUGAGGGGUGACACCUAUGCAGAGAAUGGAGAACAACCCUUGGGCAUUUCUGGAGAAAGGGGUAAUGUGAGCAGGGAUAGGCAGACAAAGAGCCCUGCGCACAUGGUUUGGUGCUACACCUGGAAGGGCUGGAGGUGACACUGCUCAGUGGCAUCAUCCUAACCAGUGGCAACUGUCUGAGGUUCAUCUCCAUGUGUGUUCCCUGGUCAUAGACCAUCCCCACGUAAACCAUCAUCACCAGGCAAACCAGCUUCAAAAGCCAAAAGGUUUACAUUCUUUCCCUGCACCUUCUGUGACUCAAAGAAGAAUCUCGAUGAGAAGAAAUCUGCACAGAGAAAACGCAGAGACAGACCUGAUGUGGGGUGAUGUGGAGAGUUGCCACCAUCCAACUGUGUGCUGCUUCUAUGACUGUAUAACCAGUGGCCUCAGGGGGAAUGGGACCUGUGAGCUGUGAGUUAUUAAGCUGGUCCAAGUCUGCUGACCUUCCUCUGCAUGCUGAUUUUCCACUAAAGUCACAGACUGGACAGCCCACAUCAGAAAAAGAAAAGAAAAAAGCAAGAAACUAAAAGUAAGAGACAUCAUUCUUUGCUCCUUGAUCACCCAGACAACAUACCAACCCCUACAAGAGAGUCAUGUUGGGGGAUUUCAGCAAUGCCUCAUCACAGGAUGUGCAGCUCUGUGAAAUAUUGAUCUGAUGAAUACUGAGAGCAAACUGCAGAGUUUGAGAAAGGACAGACCACAGCUUGAGCUUCAUCAUCUGCAGUGGCAGUCACUGGUUCUCCCAUGCGCAACGGCACCGUUGCCAUUUCUUUGGGACAGGCUGUACUGAAGCUGAUCCACGUGAGAGCUGUUAGCCUGUUCAUGCAGCUCAUAGCUUUCACACCACUUCCAGCCUUGGUCCCUGUCCAGGCACCACCACCAGCUCUCCCAUGACUUUGGGUUUAGGUCUCUUUCUAACAUUCCUCCCUUUCUUCCCCGCUGAGGGAAAAUGUCCAGGUUUGUUCUUUUUGACUUUGUGGUAGCGGCCUCAACAGAAGGACAUAGUGCCUAUUGAGUGUCCUUGCAAGGAAAAGGGAGAAACUUCUCAGUUACAUAAAAGUUUGUAUCAAAAUUCAAGAAUCCAGAUUAAUUAUAGUAGACUCGCCUUGUAUCAUUCAAUUUGUUUGAAUAGCUUUAAAGAUUAAGCAGAUCCAAGGCCUAACAGAACCAGAGCCAGUAAGACAAUAGCUGAGAUUUCCCUUUGAAACAGAAUAUACAGGUGGUUUCUGUGACUUUGUGUGUCUAUCUGCCCGGCUUUUUUAUUUUUAUGUCGUAUCCAAUAUCACAGAACCUGG
ensembl:lncRNA